UGCAAGUCGAGCGGACAGAAGGGAGCUUGCUCCCGGAUGUUAGCGGCGGACGGGUGAGUAACACGUGGGUAACCUGCCUGUAAGACUGGGAUAACUCCGGGAAACCGGAGCUAAUACCGGAUAGUUCCUUGAACCGCAUGGUUCAAGGAUGAAAGACGGUUUCGGCUGUCACUUACAGAUGGACCCGCGGCGCAUUAGCUAGUUGGUGAGGUAACGGCUCACCAAGGCGACGAUGCGUAGCCGACCUGAGAGGGUGAUCGGCCACACUGGGACUGAGACACGGCCCAGACUCCUACGGGAGGCAGCAGUAGGGAAUCUUCCGCAAUGGACGAAAGUCUGACGGAGCAACGCCGCGUGAGUGAUGAAGGUUUUCGGAUCGUAAAGCUCUGUUGUUAGGGAAGAACAAGUGCAAGAGUAACUGCUUGCACCUUGACGGUACCUAACCAGAAAGCCACGGCUAACUACGUGCCAGCAGCCGCGGUAAUACGUAGGUGGCAAGCGUUGUCCGGAAUUAUUGGGCGUAAAGGGCUCGCAGGCGGUUUCUUAAGUCUGAUGUGAAAGCCCCCGGCUCAACCGGGGAGGGUCAUUGGAAACUGGGAAACUUGAGUGCAGAAGAGGAGAGUGGAAUUCCACGUGUAGCGGUGAAAUGCGUAGAGAUGUGGAGGAACACCAGUGGCGAAGGCGACUCUCUGGUCUGUAACUGACGCUGAGGAGCGAAAGCGUGGG
rnacentral:rRNA from 2 species